rnacentral:piRNA from 1 species
CAGACUGAAAGCUUACAAAGCCUAAAAAG